UGGUUUUCCCUCCAAAGAUACAACAAAGAGGCUGUUCUCCUUGUACGAACUUCAACUUGCUUGAACACCAGAAAACAAUCAGUAAGUGAGGGAUUUGAAAAAGGAAGAAGUCUGACAGGAGACUACAAUGGGACAUAUACAGUAACAAGCUGUUGAAAACAAUCAUGAAAUUUCCAUUUAACAGGAAGCACUCCAGGACUAGAAGUACUGCUUCUAAGCAUCUGCAUCUGGACAUGCACUUUGGCAGCAUCCUGAUCCCACAUCGGAGGUCAAGCCUAUACAUGCAUCAGCUUUACCCACCUGUUUUUUAUGCUUUAGAUGUGAAAAAAAGGAAGUCUAAACAUUUGCACUGGGAGGAAGCCUCAGUGCACUCUGUCCAGAUCUCUGAUCUUGAUGGCUGGAGGAGCAAGGUUCUAAGAUCCAUCAAGAGUUUACUUUUCCCCUGCUCUGAAGUAAAAAGCCACCACGAUUUUGAUGGAAGGACCAGCGAGAAAUCUGGAAAGUCUGUCCACAAGAGGUGAUACUUAGACAUGAAAUUGGAAUGAGUCCUGAAGAACAAAUUCCAGC